AGUGAACGCUGGCGGUAGGCCUAACACAUGCAAGCCGAACGGCAGCACAGUAAGAGCUUGCUCUUACGGGUGGCGAGUGGCGGACGGGUGAGGAAUACAUCGGAAUCUACUUUUUCGUGGGGGAUAACGUAGGGAAACUUACGCUAAUACCGCAUACGACCUACGGGUGAAAGCAGGGGAUCUUCGGACCUUGCGCGAUUGAAUGAGCCGAUGUCGGAUUAGCUAGUUGGCGGGGUAAAGGCCCACCAAGGCGACGAUCCGUAGCUGGUCUGAGAGGAUGAUCAGCCACACUGGAACUGAGACACGGUCCAGACUCCUACGGGAGGCAGCAGUGGGGAAUAUUGGACAAUGGGCGCAAGCCUGAUCCAGCCAUACCGCGUGGGUGAAGAAGGCCUUCGGGUUGUAAGGCCCUUUUGUUGGGAAAGAAAAGCAGCAGGUUAAUACCCCGCUGUUCUGACGGUACCCAAAGAAUAAGCACCGGCUAACUUCGUG
rnacentral:rRNA from 1 species